AUUGAACGCUGGCGGCAUGCCUUACACAUGCAAGUCGAACGGUAACGCGGGGCAACCUGGCGACGAGUGGCGAACGGGUGAGUAAUGUAUCGGAACGUGCCCAGUGGUGGGGGAUAACUGCUCGAAAGAGGAGCUAAUACCGCAUACGACCUGAGGGUGCAAGCGAGGGAUCGAAAACCCUCGCGCAAUGGGAGAGGCAGAUAUCAGAUUAGGUAGUAGGUGGGGUAAAGGCCCACCAAGCCAACGAUCUGUAGCUGGUCUGAGAGGACGACCAGCCACACUGGGACUGAGACACGGCCCAGACUCCUACGGGAGGCAGCAGUGGGGAAUUUUGGACAAUGGACGCAAGUCUGAUCCAGCCAUGCCGCGUGCGGGAAGAAGGCCUUCGGGUUGUAAACCGCUUUUGUCAGGGAAGAAACGCUCUGGGUUAAUACCUCGGGGUAAUGACGGUACCUGAAGAAUAAGCACCGGCUAACUACGUGCCAGCCGCCGCGGUAACAC
rnacentral:rRNA from 1 species